GAAUAUUCUCUAGUUUUCCUUUCUACUUUUUUGAAGCAAUAAAAACCCCAGAAAACCUUGUAUGCUAUGUUUUUCACAAUUCUGUAAACUGUGAAAUUUUCUUUUUCUCUAAAGAGAUUCAGAGAGCAGUUUUACAAGAAUUUCAUUUCUGGAAAAAAUCCUCAAAUGUGAAAAGGACUGAGCGGUACAAAUUCCAGAAUUUAAUACUAUGAAGAGCAUAUUCCUGUGCUCUUAUAGUUUCCACGGUUCUAAAUUCAUGCAACUUAAAACUUCUUUUGUUUCAGUUUUUUG
rnacentral:lncRNA from 1 species